rnacentral:pre_miRNA from 1 species
UCUUCGUUAGUUUACCUCAUGUCUUGUAAUUGAUUAACCUUCAGUAAUUCAGUUGAUGUCAAUGUGUAUGUUGAUUAUUAAUUGAUCUGAACGUUGUGUUAUAGGAAUCCUCUAACAUUCU